UCAAGCAGAAAGGGCACAGGGCGGAUGCCUUGGCACUAAGGGCCGAAGAACGACGUGAUAAGCUGCGAUAAGCUUCGGGGAGGAGCAAAUAUCCAUUGAUCCGGAGAUCUCUGAAUGGGGAAACCCACAUGAGCAAACCUCAUGUAUCCAUACGCCAAUCCAUAACGUAUGGAGGGGAACCCGGGGAACUGAAACAUCUAAGUACCCGGAGGAAAAGAAAGAAAACUCGAUUCCGUAAGUAGCGGCGAGCGAACGCGGAAGAGCCUAAACCGGUGUGCGUGCACACCGGGGUUACGGACUGCAUUUAAGAUUCUGCAAUGUUAGUGGAACGGUUUUGGGAAAGCCGGCCGGAGAGGGUGAAAGCCCCGUAGACGAAAACAGAGCAGACUGAGCAGGAUCCAGAGUACCGCGGGACACGAGAAACCCUGCGGGAAGUGAGGGGGACCACCCCCUAAGGCUAAAUACCACUUAGUGACCGAUAGCGCAUAGUACUGUGAAGGAAAGGUGAAAAGGACCCCGGGAGGGGAGUGAAAGAGAACCUGAAACCCUGUGUCUACAAGCUGUGGGAGUGCUUUAUAUGCACGACCGCGUACUUUUUGUAGAACGGUCCGGCGAGUUGCGCUCACUGGCAAGGUUAAGCACCGAAGGUGCGGAGCCGUAGGGAAACCAAGUCUUAAGAGGGCCAGAGUCAGUGGGGGCAGACCCGAAACCGGGUGAUCUAUCCAUGUCCAGGUUGAAGCUGCCGUAAGAGGCAGUGGAGGACCGAACCCACAUCCGUUGAAAAGGGUGGGGAUGAGGUGUGGAUAGGGGAGAAAUUCCAAUCGAACCCGGAGAUAGCUGGUUCUCCUCGAAAUAGCUUUAGGGCUAGCCUUGGUAGAGAUUUGCGGAGGUAGAGCACUGAAUUUCCUAGGGGGCGUCAAAGCCUACCGAAGAAUAUCAAACUCCGAAUGCCGUGUAAUUGCUUACCAGGAGUCAGACUGUACGAGAUAAGUUGGACAGUCAAAAGGGAAAGAGCCCAGACCUUCAGUUAAGGUCCCAAAGUGUGCGUUAAGUGGAAAAGGAUGUGGGAUUUCGAAGACAACCAGGAUGUUGGCUCAGAAGCAGCCAUACAUUCAAAGAGUGCGUAAUAGCUCACUGGUCGAGAGGUCCUGCGCCGAAAAUGUCCGGGGCUGAAACGCACCACCGAAACUAAGGAAUCCGAAAGGAUUGGUAGAGGAGCAUUGCAUGCGGGACGAAGCAGUACCGAAAGGAGCUGUGGACUGCAUGGAAGAGAGAAUGCCGGAAUGAGUAGCGAGAUAGAGGUGAGAAUCCUCUAGGCCGAAUAUCCAAGGUUUCCAGGGUAAAGCUGAUCUGCCCUGGGUAAGUCGGGGCCUAAGGUGAGGACGAGAGUCGUAGCCGAUGGACAACAGGUGGAGAUUCCUGUACUAUGAUAUGACAGAACUGUGGGGACACGUGCAGAGAGCGGAAGCCGGGAAUGGGAUCCCGGUGCAAGCGAGGUACCAGCCGCAUUGGAAAAACCGUGCGGCAAUGGGAAGACGUGAUGCGGAGUGAAGUUUAGUAAUGAAGUCCGUGAGCUGUGCGUCAAGAAAAGCCGCUAUUGUUCAUACCAUACCCGUACCGUAAACCGACACAGGUGGAUGAGGAGAGAAUCCUAAGGCCGGCGGAAGAAGCAUUGUCAAGGAACUCGGCAAAAUGACCCCGUAACUUCGGGAGAAGGGGUGCCACUGAGAAGUGGCCGCAGAGAAUAGGCUCAAGCAACUGUUUAGCAAAAACACAGGUCUAUGCGAAACCGUAAGGUGAGGUAUAUGGGCUGACGCCUGCCCGGUGCUGGAAGGUUAAGAGGAGAGGUUAGCGCAAGCGAUGCUUUGAAUUUAAGCCCCAGUAAACGGCGGCCGUAACUAUAACGGUCCUAAGGUAGCGAAAUUCCAUGUCGGGUAAGUUCCGACCCGCACGAAAGGCGUAAUGAUUUGAGCGCUGUCUCGACAAUGCAUCCGGUGAAAUUGAAGUACCAGUGAAGAUGCUGGUUACCUGCGCCAGGACGGAAAGACCCCAUGGAGCUUUACUCCAGUUUGGUACUGGGAUCCGGUACUGCAUGUACAGGAUAGGUGGGAGGC
rnacentral:rRNA from 1 species